rnacentral:rRNA from 1 species
UACGUAGGGUGCAAGCGUUAAUCGGAAUUACUGGGCGUAAAGCGUGCGCAGGCGGCUCUGCAAGACAGAUGUGAAAUCCCCGGGCUCAACCUGGGAAUUGCAUUUGCGACUGCAGCGCUGGAGUGCGGCAGAGGGAGAUGGAAUUCCGCGUGUAGCAGUGAAAUGCGUAGAGAUGUGGAGGAACACCAAUGGCGAAGGCAGCCUUCUGGGCCAACACUGACGCUCAUGCACGAAAGCGUGGGGAGCAAACAGG